rnacentral:rRNA from 1 species
UACGUAGGGGGCGAGCGUUGUCCGGAAUCAUUGGGCGUAAAGAGCGUGUAGGCGGCUUGGCAAGUCUGACGUGAAAGCCCGCGGCUCAACCGCGGAUUGUCGUUGGAAACUGCCUCGCUAGAGUCCGGAAGAGGAGAGCGGAAUUCCUGGCGUAGCGGUGGAAUGCGCAGAUAUCAGGAAGAACACCCGUGGCGAAGGCGGCUCUCUGGGACGGUACUGACGCUGAGACGCGAAAGCGUGGGGAGCGAACAGG